rnacentral:rRNA from 1 species
UGGAUCAGAACGAACGCUGGCGGCGUGCUUAACACAUGCAAGUCGUACGAGAAAGUGGAGCAAUCCAUGAGUAAAGUGGCGACCGGGUGAGUAACACGUGACUACCUACCUUCUAGUGGGGGAUAACUCCGGGAAACCGGAGCUAAUACCGCAUAACAUCGCAAGAUCAAAGCAGCAAUGCGCUGGAAGAGGGGGUCGCGGCUGAUUAGCUAGUUGGUAGGGUAAUGGCCUACCAAGGCAAGGAUAGGUAUCCGGCUUGAGAGGGCGCACGGACACACUGGAACUGAUCUCACGGUCCAGGAUCCUACGGGAGGCA